GGGGACGUGGCGGAAUUGGCAGACGCUUUGGACUUAAAAUCCAUUGGCCCAUGUGCCGUGCGGGUUCGAAUCCCGCCGUCCCCA
rnacentral:tRNA from 1 species